rnacentral:lncRNA from 1 species
GGGAGUUACAGGGCAUGUGCUCUCAGAUCUGUCUCUCCAAUUCAGGACUUGGGGGGAAAUUUAAGAGGUGAGGGAAAACAGGCUGGUAGGCGGAAAUGCUGGCAGGACAGGUUUGAUUGGUGGGCUUCAAGCAUUUAUGGUAAGGUUCUAAACCUUUACAAUGACAUUCUAAACUUUUAUGGCAAGGUAUUAAACAUUUAUGGUAAGGUAGGGAAGCCAUUUUAACACUGGCUCUUCCAGAAUGAUGGACCUCUUGCUUCUGAUAAGAGUCCAACUUUUAAGUUCCAGCCAUGUCCCGGUCAUUUGUUUCCAUGAGGAGGAGGAUCUUUGGUUCCAUGGUCAUUUCAGGUCAAGAUUUCUUCUUCCCAUGCUCUGGAUGGGCUCCACAAAUGGAAGGAUGAAAGAGUGAAAGAAGAGAGGAAGCUGACUAUUUGUCAUCUGUCUUGGUCUUGGACAUCAUCUCAUCCUGAUCAUCAGGCGGUGGCUGCAUCUCCUUCAAGACACCAGCUUCCAGUCACAUGACUCUGACCCCUGAGUUCCCAUAGCAUU